rnacentral:rRNA from 1 species
CNAAGCGGUGNACAUGUGUUUUAUUUCNAAGCACGCGAAAACCUUACCUUCNUUUGACAUGGCGUGUUAUGGGNAGAGAUUCCCAGUCNUCUUCGGAGGCNCGCACACAGGUGCUGCAUGGNUGUCGUCAGCUCGUGUCGUGAGAUGUUGGGUUAAGUCCCGCAACGAGCGCAACCCACGUCCUUAGUUGCCAUCAUUCAGUUGGNCACUCUAGGNAGACUGCCGGUGAUAAGCCGCGAGGAAGGUGUGGAUGACGUCAAGUCCUCAUGGCCCUUACGGGAUGGGCUACACACGUGCUACAAUGGCGGUGACAGUGGGACGCGAAGGGGCNACUUGGAANAAAUCCCCAAANGCCGUCUCAGUUCGGAAUUGCACUCUGCANCUCGGGGGNA